GUAUGAUUUGUGACAUUCAUUUUAGUGAAGAUCAGCAGAUCAGCAAUGCUCUUAAUCUGAGGUACAAAUGCACACCUACUUAUUGCAGUAUUCUCUGUUGCAAAUAAUGGGGGUGCUUGUGGUUAAAUUCUUUUGUUUAAUCAGUAGAGGUUAGCAUGCACUGUUAUAGACCCUUUGUAGAAUGGUAGUUAUGUUUAGUUGUUGCACUUACGUGUCAUAUUCACCUUUUUAACGGAAUUAUUAUGUUUAGUUGUUGCAGUUGCCAGUUAUGAUGCCACUGCUCGGUAAUUAAAUUUAUACAUAGUUCAUAUUUUGUUGAAUUAAAUUCUAGACUAUGAAAUAUUCCAUGUUUUGGACGGUAAACCUUUAUUAUAAAUUGAUGGAUCCUCUAAAAGGUUGAUGGCUUAGGUUGGCAUGAUAUUUAGAAAAUAGGUUUUCCCUUGAAUGCACAUUCUAUUAGUUAAUUUAAAUGAACAAAAUCUUUAUGCAUUUUUUUCAUUACUUUCGAUAUACUUGAUUUUUUUUUUGGAGGAGAGAAGAGGACACUGUAACAAAGGCCAAUAUCGAGGUAACUUUUCGAUUGUUAUAUACAUGGUGAUCCUGGUAGCGACUAUCCUACCCAUGACAAGGCUACCCAGGCAGCGCUGAUCCUCCUCACGCAAGACAUCCCCUACUGCGGUGAUCCUCCAUGUAAUGAGGCGACCGGGCCAGUGAGGUUCUUGUUGCCAAACCAUUCUCCUUCGGGGUAUAAGGGCUACUCCAGCGAGGAGCAGCAGCUACCUUACAAUUACCUUGCCGUCGCGCAAUCGCCACCACCACGAGGAUGAUGACUGCUGCCUUCGCGUCCUCGGAAGAUGAACGAAAAUCUAACUAGCUAGGACCCUCGGGAUGGUGGCUCCUCUAGCCAUAGGUUUGGAGGGCAACAAGCAGAUGCACCAAAGGGAGCUCAAAUAUGAGGAAUUAUGUGGCAAAAAUGAGCUUGCUGGAUCGGAAUCCUGGUAAGAUGACAUAAGUUUAGAAUAAUCACUGCUGCAACCAUCUCUGGUGAGUCUUUAUGAGAAAGACCACAUAGGAAAGGGACGAGAUUAGCACUUCUAGCUACAAAGGAAAUGUAUUUAACUUCUCAAGAAUAUAUUGGCAAAUAUAAUGCUGUUUAACUUCUGUUGUAUGAAUUGUACAUGCACUAAAAAGCAUAUAAAUAUGCUCUCUUAUUCGUGCUUCCCAA